rnacentral:tRNA from 1 species
GUGGUUCAGUGGUAAAAUGUUUGCUCUUCCACAUAAGAUAACUAGGUUCAAAUCCUAGUACG